AUAUUAAAUAGACUUUCAACGAAGGACGGGUUGAAAACGUGGGGAAUUGAGGUGGAUGACAAAUGUUGCCUGUGCCAGAGAGAGGACGAAACCAUGGAAGAUUUGUUCUUUGGAUGUGAUUAUUCAAAAUAGAUUUGGUAAAAGAUAUUACGGAAGUGCAGGAUCUUUCGGGGGUGGAGAACUGGUCGAAGAGUUGAGAUGGGCAGUGAGCAAAUUGAGGGGAAAGCUUCCAUCAUAUUGCGAUUAGCCUGGAAUUCCAGACAUCAGAUAUAGAAAGAGAGCAACAGCAGGAUGUUACAGGUCCUUGAACACAUAAAAGAUGCUGUGAGACUUCGAUUAGGGGGACUAAGUCAGAUACACAUAAAAGAUGUUGUGAGACUUCGAUUAUAGGGACCAAGUCAGAUUGCUGCCAAUACAGUAAAUAAGAUGAUAGAAUAGGUUGCAAUUAGAGAUGCGUAUAUUGAUGGUUUGUAAAAGACGGAUUGUUGUAUUGUAGUAGAAUUCUGCUAGCUUGAUAAAUAAAAUACAAAUUAUCAAAAAAAAAAAUUCCUGAAAAUAUACUAUAAUACAAAACAUUACGAGCUUAGGAUAAAAAUAAUUGUUUAUUAUAUUCAAGAAAUUCGUCAUAUAUAAAUAUAAAUAUAUAUAUAUAUUAUUAGUGUAUGUUACAGAGAAUUCUGGGGGAAGUUAGGAAUUAAUUGUCUCCACUAAUAUCUUGUCUUAUCUACAAACUGGACAAAUACAAUAUAUGUCAUUGUUCUUUGCCGAAAUCAUUAAGGUUUCAUUGACGGAUACUUUCAUUUUUUUUAAUAAAAAUCUAUAAAAUACAAAAUAAUAAAAAAUAAAAAUAUCAAUAAAAAAAUUAAGUUAUUUAAAAAUUUAUCAUUACUAAUUUCACUUGUAAAAAGAAUUCCUUAUAUUGUAUACAUAUGUGAUAAAAUUCAAAACCAAACACUUUAUUUGGAGAAUGGGGGUUUUAGUAGGAGAUUUAUAUACUUAUAUUUUAACCAAAUAUUUAGGUGUUCAAACUGACAUAGUUAGAUGCAAAUUAUGCAUAUAAUGCAUUUUUUAAGCAUUUAUUUUUUUUAGGGUAUUCGAGGUUGUAAUGGAUUGAAUCAUACUCACUAUUAAUCAAUUAUAACAAAAAGUUAUAUAGAUAUUCAUUAGUUAUAAGUUUGAAUUUUACAUAAUAUUUUAAUGAAUCAUAAGUAAUUUUGAAUUAUAAUUAAUUAUAGUACAAUAAUUAUAAGUGACAUGUUUAUUUUUUUAAUUUUAGUAGUACUAUUAUUUAUUGUUAUGUCUAAAUCAAUUGGUUAAUAGUCAAAAUUUAAUUAACACAAUUAAGCCUUUGAGUCGUCUAAGCAAAGCAUAACUAAAUAGCUAUGUCACCUAUUCUAAGGAGAUGGCUCGUCCUUCACCAAAAUAAGGACUCACUUAAAACUCCACCAAUAACUUGUUAAAACAAUCUCUUCAGAAUUGACCAACUGGCAUCCAACUUGUCUAGGAUCAAUAAAUGCAGCCUAUGCUUACCUUAAAUUAUUAAAUGCAAUUCCCAUCCAAUGGAUCUUUCUCGAAUUCUCCACAAAUAUCCUAUAAACUGUCAACUAUUUCAAUUAAGUCAUCACCUUUGAUAUAAUACAAGAGGUAGAUAGAAACCCAGGUACGCAAGGUAACACACAAGACCCAACACUCUUUAAAGUUUAUCCACUGAAGCUUCCCACACCUUAUCAUUUUCAUCUUCCUUAUUUCCUUACCUUACCUUAACGUCAAACCACGCCUCAGAGUAACAAUUCUGAUGCCCUCUGAUCAUACUUUUUGGUUACAGGUCACAGAUAUUUUUCCCUAAAACCUCACCUCCCUCCCAGUCAAGACAUCCAACAACACCAUCAACAUUCAUAAUUUUAUUUAAAAUGUAUUGAAGAUUAAAAUGUAACUCAAGUAUAUCUAAAUUAAUGAAAUUACAUAAACAAAUAGAAAUUACAAUCCUAAUCGACCAACCUCAAUACACAUAUACUCAAUCUUUUUUUUUUAUUUUUUUAUAUUUUGGCAAGCACAUAUACUUAUAAUUUAAUAUUUUUUGAAGAAAUUUUUUUGGAAAAAAAUUUCAAGUGUACAAUUCCAUGACCAUUAGAAAGGAAAAAGGAGAAGGAAGGAUCCCUCAAAUUCAAACAAAGAUGCAUGGUGUUCACAACAGGUAGAAGUAUAAUAAAAUUUCAAUCACUCAAACACAAAUUUGGGGAAUUGGGGAAAUUUGAAAGGGCCAAACACUUUCUCUAACCAGCUGUGACCAACCAAAAUGAGUAUUGCCAAUUUGCCAUGCAUUAUCGUCAUCAUAUCCUAUUCCAGGCUCCAGCUUCAGGUUUUUCAAUAGCUUUGGCCAGUUUCAUCAUUCAUUAUGUGACAAUUAUUCCACCCUUAUUUGAAUUUUCUGACAACUAAUGCACACAACUGUUUGCAACAUUUUUUAAAAAAGUUUAAAUUAUGGUAAGAAACUAAACCAGGGUUGUUCUUAAUACUCAUUGAUGGGAGAGCUAUUCGGUGGUUCUCUAGCAAAUCUUGAAAUUAUUUUUUUCUAUAGGAGGGCAUAACCCAAAGGGAAAGGGAAAAAAUCUUGGCUUGAAGUAAGAUUUGGUGUCUUCUUAGAGUUACUUGCUCACUACCUCAAGAGGUCGCGGACGACAAAUUUUGAACUUUGAUUUUAAGAUAAAGUUAACUAAAAUAGUAAUUUAACUAAUAAAAAAUAAAUAUGAGCAAAAUGUGUUGUAUACAAGAGUUACAGUUAGCAAUGGGUUACCAUUAAUAAUAUUUGAAUCUUACCAUUUUUUUAAAUUAAGGCGAUGAACUUAUCAAUUGAAUCAAUUCGUCUGAUUUAAUUUUAUUAAGAAAAUUAAAAUUUUAAUUUAAUUUUUAUUAAAUUUAUAUAUUUUUGAUUUAACACUUAUGACAAUAUUAUUGAUUUUAAUAUAUAAUUGAUGGAUAUAGUUAAGAAAUGACAAUGUGAUUUUAAGUUUUAUUAAAUUAUAAUACAUAUAAUCAACACCAAUUUAAAUAUACAUGCAUAUAUAUAUACAUAUAAAUAGAUAGAUAAAUAGAUAUACACCAAAGAUUUUUAAAAUUUUUGGAAAGGGUAAGGCCCCUCAAGCUCCCAUUAUGAACUGCUUCUAGAGCAUUUACAUAUAAUAUAACCCACAAUUUCUCUUAAGAAAUUUUAACAUUUGAGAGAAUUCGAGAGUUGCAUACUUUUAAUUAUACCUUACUUAGCAAUACAAUAUAAGUCAAAUUCAAACCUAAGCAUGUGGCUUAAUAUAGUGUAAUUAUCCACUUAUACAUCUUAUAUAUAUUUAUUAAAUAUUUAUUGUAUUAUGUAUAAAUACGUUAACUAAAGAAUAUAAAUUUGAUUUUUUUCACAUGCAACAACAACAAAAAAAAAAAAUCAAUUUAUUUUACAUUUUUCUCAAUUUUUUCACUAUUUUUUUUGUUCCAGCCACAUAAGAGUGUCCAAAAUCUAAUAAAACUUAAAAUCCAUUUGUAGUUGGGAUGAAUAAUCCUUCAAAAUUAAGGAAACUUAGAGCCCCCUCUUCUCUUGUAUCAUAAAUUUCUCACAGGCUUCGAUUUUUUUCUCAUACAACUACAAAAAAUAAAUCAAUUUAUUUUAUCACAUAACUCUUUCUUUGACGUAUUUUUUUCUCAUUUUUUCACUUUUUUCUGUUCCAGCUACAUAAGAGUGUCCAAAAUAUUGUAAUACUUAAAUCCGAUGAAUAAUCCUUCAAAUUUAAAGAAACUUAAAAUCACUUCUUCUCUUGUGUUAUAAAUUUCUCAUAGGCUUUGCUUUUCAAAAAUUGCAAUUACAAAAAAUUGCAACCUUCCAUUCUUCUUUUUAUUGCAUCCUUUGUUUCAAGUUUUAAUAUGUCUGAUUAAUUAGAUCAAGUUUUAGUCCCUUGUUGGAAUUUGAGUUUAGAGGGAUAGGAGGCUUUUCUAUGCAUACCAUUAUCCAGCAUAUUUCCUAAUAAUGAAAGGGAUGAUGAUGAUCAGUUCUCUGAUGAUGCUUACAUGGAAGAUGUGGUAGUAUUCGAUACUGAUGAUGAUAUUAUGGAGAUUCUUGAGGAUGCUCUUGCUGAUAACAAUCCUUCAAAGAUGAUCAAGCCUGCUAGUAAAUCAGCCAUUGAAGGGUUGAAGAAGGUAAAGAUCGAUGAAAGAUCAUUGGUCAUGUGUUCGGUGUGCUUUGAAGAUGUUUCAAUCGGGACUGAAGCCAAAUGCCUGCCCUGCUCCAUGUUUAUCAUACAGGUUGCAUUGUUAAAUGGCUUAAAGAGAGGAAUUGUCGAUUUUGAUCUAAAUGUUCUCUUGUCUGCCAUUGAUUUUGAUGUGAAUUCUAAGAAAAUGACUGCUACUAAUUGAUUUCAAUGUCAUUUAUAAUAUGUAAUUAUUGGGGUUUUGUUCUGUUUUCUUUUGUUUCUUUUGAACAAUUUGUUUGUAAUCUUAAGGGUACUCAAAUCAGAAUGAAAUUGUCAUUUGGAACCCAAACCCUAAACCCUAGUCACCCAAGUCCUUAUGUUGCAUGAUUAUUAAAAAAUAUACCGAACUUUUCUUUCUAAUUCUGAUGUUUUGGUAUUUCUUAUAAUCUGUCAAUUUCUAUACAUGACCGUGCUCUCUACAACUUACUGAUAUAAAUUCUUGUUGAUUAGUUUGUUUUGUUUUGCAGGGUUUUUCUAUUUCUUAUAAAUACCUUUGAGACCAAGAUUGGUCCUAAACAACAUUGUUCAGUCAAUCAAUGUUCAAUGUUUGAUCAAAUCAAGUGGACACUUUACAGGAACCGGGCACAUACAGAGCGUUGAGUUAGUAUUCAUGAGAGCAAACAAGAGAAGCUAGUGUUUCCAACACAAUGAAUUGAUAUACUGACUCAAAUGAAACUAAAUCCAAUGAAUUGAUAUACUGACUCAAAUGAAACUAAAUCCAACUUAGAAAAAGGCAGUAAAACUUUUAAUCGUAGCUAAAAAAUAGGAAUAGAAAGCGAAGAAAAUGGACUCAAAUCCCGCUUGUUUUUUAAGUGGUGACGUCUUGUCAGAGCCUUUGAGUUGAUGGUAUGGGUAUUGGAAGUGUUAAUAGUUUGGUGAUUGUAUUGCUAGAUCUAUUCUUCCUAAUUCUCUAGUCAUAGAUGUAUUGUAUUGUUGCGAAUGCGCCUCAGUCUCAAGUUUCAAGUGUUUGAGGAAGUGAGCGAAGUUUCUAAUGUGAGAGGAAUAAUAUUCGAAAACUUUUUUUUUUAGACUAUGCUUAAUGGAUAUUUUUAGUUCAUAAUUCUCUUUAGACUCUAAUUACCCAUUUCUAUAAGAAUUCUAAAAUUCUUUUCCAGUUUUAGAUCUCUCAACAACAACCUCUUACUCAGUAAAUCUAUUACAAAUUCAUAAAUCCUCCAAGGGAUUUUUAUAUUUGAUUAUAUGUUGCAUACCUGCUAUGCACAAAACACAAAAAAGGGCAGUUAUUUUAUUUUCAUCAGAGAACGAUUAUUCGAUUAUUUUUCCUCUUAUCUAAGACUGCAUUACUAGAAUCAAACUUUGUGCCCAUAUUGGGUGUUUUCAACAUUCUGUUUCAGUUCUAUUUUCUGUUGUAUUUUUGGUUUCGUGUCUCUUUGUCUAACAGCUCUGAAUAUUUUGUAGCAUGCCUCCUGAUUUAAAUACAGAAAACAUCAAAUUGUUUGAAAAGAAUCCUCUAUUUUUCACAACCACUUUGAUCUUAUAAGCUUUCAACAGAAAUUUUCUUGUUAAACACAAAGAAGCUCGAAUCUAUUUCAACUAGAAUUGGUGGGGUGCGCCUGGCCCAUGCAGUAGUGCAACGCAUAGGCGACGCUCGAAGACCCCAGCAGCAAGCUGCUGUGAUGGGCCUUCGCCCUCAAAAAAUUAAUUUAAUAUCAUGUGGAUCAAUGACCCACGUAUCAGAUAUUAAACUGAUAAGAACAGAUACUACACUUGAUCUUAGCCAAAAGGCCGAGAAAGGUAUGCUUUGUAAAUGUUCUCAACUUCUCUUUUAUAAAUUGCCUCGCCCAAACCCUUUUCAACUGUUCAUGAUGUGGAAUAGAGAACACAGCCAAGUGCAGUAACAUCUUAUCUUUCGAUGACCAGACUUCGAAAACUCUCAAAUAGUUACCUGAAUAUCAGAGCAAAAUCUGGCAACAAGAACACUCCUAACAUUUACCAUUUCCUUGGGAGAUUAUUUAUUAAUAAUUUAUGUGGUCAAAAUGGUAUUUGGCAUCCGCUUCGAGAAGGCAGUGUUCAUAUAAUCUAUAGGUAUAAAUUCAAUGACUGGUUUUACGCUGUGUUUAGCUACGAAAUCAGUCAUCUGUUGAGUCUCCUUCAGUCUUUCAAUCAUGCUUAUCUUCCUUGCCGUUAAGGGUAUAAUUCUUGUUAAUUUCUCAGUCUUAAUAUCAAAUCAUGUCCAAUACUAAAAAUCUAUACUUUAUAUAUUAAAAGUAUCCUAAGGUUUAAGAAAGUUAAUAGCUUACCUAACUUAUGAGUUUUGUGGGCUUUGAGAUAUGAGGAGUGGGUCUAUGUUUAACUGCCUUUUUUUUUUGUUUUUUUUUUUUUGUGGUGAGCUUUAGAAUUUGUGGUAUUUUAUUUAUUGUUUAUUGAGUAGGAUUUUUUUCAGUUUUGUUUGAGAGGGCAGAGGGUUCAGUAUUAUCAGUACCAGCAUUCAAGUUCAUAGUCACUUCAAAUGAUGUUGCAUGAAACUUUCUUUAAAGAGCGACAAAGUAAAGCCAAUUAUUGAUCCCAAUGGCAUUUUUCCUUUCUCUUAAAUUGUCUAAAGACUUUUUUAUGUUGAAAUUGGAAGAGUUAUAGAAAAAGUGGUCGUAUACCAAUCCCAUGAGACAAAAAAUUCUUGUAUAGUACUUAAUAUAAUCCGUUCAUAAUAUUUGAUUUUAAAUUGUGUAUUUUAAUUAUGGUUAUAUUAAGAUAUGAAAUAACAAAUUUUUUAAUAAAUUAAAUAAUCCCCUCUAUACUCUUAAAAAGAUAUGUGUCGAGAGUAUAGAGAAUUUAUAGUUAAUUUUAUAUAAUAGUUAUUGCUAUUUACGAAACAUAAAUAAUGAAAUUUUAAAAAGUUUAAAUCCUAUCAUAUUAUUCAUAAUAUAAAUAUUUUUUAAUUUUUAAAAUAUAAUAUUUAAGUUGAUGUACAAAACCAUAAAAACUGAUUUACAUGAUUUACACCUACAUUAUUGGUGUAAAUGUUUCUUAAACCUAUAUUGACUUUUAAAUAAACCAGAGCAAUCUAUCAGUUCGGUUAAGUCAAUUAUAAAAACUUAAAAACCGAUUAAUUGGGCUUCAUCUGUUUAAGUAACCAAAUUGACUAAUUAAUAGUACGAAAAUAAAAAGUAAUUGAAAUGACUUAAAUCAAUUGGUUUUGUCGAUUUUGUUGGUCCUUUAGUUUCUAGCAAGUUUGGUCAAAGAUUAUUUGUCAUAAUUAAUCACUGUAUUAUCUUUUUGAAUUUGACUAUUUUCCAUCCUAUGAUUUUGAACUAAUCCAUGUGUGGAUAAUUAAGUUGAUCAAAUUAUGUAACGGAUAUCUGUACAUUAGUUAAAUGAUUAAAUUAAUUCUUCUAUCUUAAUGUUUUCAAAUUGGAUUCAUAUACUUCAUUUUAUUAUCAAAUUGAAUCAAAUUGUUAAUAGUUCAAACUUGUUCCGUUAAACUUGAUAAUGUGAUAUUUUAAUUUUUUUGAUGUGACAUUUUUGCUUACGUUGACGAUUAACUUUGUUGACAUGUAAAGUCUAUGUGGUCAAAUAUGAUAACGUGAUAAAAUUUUUUGACAUGUCAUCAGUUUUUCAUGCCAACUUCUCUUAAUUUGCACAACUUAUCCCUAUAUUUUGGUUAAAUGGUGGAAUUAGUCUUUUUAUCUUAAUGUAUGUUCAAUUUGAUCCCUAUACAUAAAUUAACUAUCGAAUUUAAGAUUUAAUCUAAAAUAAGUAAAAUAAAACUAAAAUAAAAGACAAAAAAACUUUUCAAUACAAAUAGAUCGAAUUGUAAACAAAGUCAAUGUAUAGGUCAACACAAGAUUUGCACCAAACCCCUCUUGAAAAAUAACAUCGUUUCAACCUAUUAUAAAAACAAUUUUUUUUUUAAUUUUCCUUUUUUCUCCUCUUUCAUCCUUGUUUUUCUCUUACUUCUUUUUACAAGUCUCCUCCAAAGAACUCAUAUUUUAAUGGGAUUUAUAGAAAUCAGGGAUUGAAAAAUUCAACAAUCACAGAAAAUUUAUCCAUAAAAACUAAAACCGUUAAUACCCAGAAAUCGAUUAUCGACACCACCAUUUUGUAUCAUCAUCUAAAGCAAAAUUGAGCAUAAUACCCUAAAAAUUAUAAAUUUCAAACCUUUAAAAAAAAUUUUCUCGGUAAAAAAUUAUUUCUAAUGGUUUUUGCUAAUUGUCUUUAUUUUUGUUGUGUUACCUUGUCGAUUGCUAUUGAAUUCUCAAAUUUUUUUCAAAUUAAUAUUUCCAAAAAAAUUUUCAUAUUUUCCUUAACUUUUUUCAAUUUUUUAUUUUUUUUAUUUUUUUUUACUUUGACUUCUUGAUUUUCACUAACUAAACAAUAAAAAUAAAUAAAAUACUUUUAGAGUUUUAAAUUUGGGUUUAAAAUUCAAUUUCACAAUUAAACCAAUUGAUCAAAAAAUGAUUUUAGAGCCUAAUGUCGAGAUGAAAUUUCAAAGCCAUUUAAUAUUGAAAUUUUUUUUCAAAAAGAAUAGAAUGUCUACAAUUGCUUUUAUUGUUGACUGUAUAUCUGAGUUUGUUGACUAUGAUUUUUUAAUCUAAUUUUUAUGCUUUAGUCAUUUUACAAGUUUUUUUAUUUUUUAUAUUUUAAGAAUAUUAUAAAAGAAAUUAACAAAAAGUGAAAAAAUAAAAUAAAUAAAAAAUAAAGAAAAUAUAUAAUUUAGUUUAUUUUGGGCUUAUAGUCUAAUUUGAGAUUAACCCAAUUUGUCAAAUUAAGUCCAAUUAAUAAUUCAAAUAUCCAAAAAAAUUUAUCUAAAUAUGAAAAAAAAUAUCACGCUCGAAUUAAUAAUUUAUGCUUUUAUAUGUUAUUUUAGAUCAAAUUUUAAAUUCGAUAAUUAAUUGAUAUAUAAGGAUCAAAUUUGAACACAUAUUAAAGUAGAAUGACUAAUUCUAUUAUUUAACCAAAGUAUAGAGACGAGCCGUGUAAUUUGAGAAAAGUUGAUGUGAAAAAAUGAUGAUGUGUUAAAAAAUUUUACCACAUCAUCAUUUUUUAUCACGAUGACUUUACACGUCAACAAAGUCAAUGGCCAUAUAAGCAAAAAUGCUACAUUAAAAAAGUUAAAAUACUAUAUUAUCAAUUUUUACAGAAAAAGUUUGAACGAUUAAUAAAUUAACUAAAGUCGACUAUUAAAUGAAUAGGAAUCCAAUUUGAACAGAUUAAGAUAAAUGGACUAAUUUUACUAUUUAACUAAAGUACAUAUAUCUGUUAUAUAAUUUGACCUAAUUAGGUUCAUCACACAAUAAACACUUUCCACCGCAGUCAUCGGCAUAACCUCCAAGACUCUAUCUCUCUCUAUUGCCUUAAAUUCAUAUAAGACAUAAAAAACAAAUUCUAGGAGCAAGCCAAGCAACACUAAGCCAUUUCUUAAAAUCUCACGUCAAGAGUCUAUUAAAGGUAGUCUAAGUUUAUUGUAUAAAUUUAUGGUCUUAUUUUUGUUCAAGUCAUUUAUAGAAAAUUUUAGUACAGAAAAUGACCAACAUUCUCUGUCUCUCAAAUAUCUAUAUCUCUGAUAACAAGAGGAAUUGGGGUGCAACCAUGGGGUUUAACAAGAUAGAGAUGAAGUUGAUUGAGGAUAAAACUUGCAGGUAAGUUACAUUCUCAAAAUAUCGAGUAGAUUUGCUUAAAAAAUCCAUGAAAUUUCUAUACUUUGUGGUGCUCAAAUUGGGCUCAUUAUCUUCUCAAACACUAAGGGGAAUUAGGGAUAUAGAUUUUAGGGUUUUGAUAAAAAAGAAUAAAAAAUAGAAAGGAAGGGCUAAAGGGUAAUUAGGUAAAGGGUUAGGAAAAUUAAUAAUGUUUUUGUUUAUUUUAAAUAUUUAAUUAUUUGAAUUUUGAUUUUUUCGAUCGGUUCAAAUUUAAAACUUCAACACAAAAAAGAAAAAAGAUAAAUUCGAGAACCAAAUCGAUUUAAUCUCUUAAAUCAAAAAAUCCAAAUCGAUUUAAUUAAAAUGAACGAUUUAGAUCAAUUUUAUUGAUUUAAAGUUAAUGCUUUCUCCUACUUUAAACAAUAAAAAAUGAAAUAGAAUGAUGCUUUCUCUUAAUCCUUUUACAUAUUGCUCCUAUUAAAAAUCUUUUGAAUUAUGUUUUGUUAUACUAAAAUGCAAAUAGAAUGAUGUUUAUAUUGCCUUUGAUAUAAUCAAAAUAAAAAUGGCUCUUCCUCUUAUUUUCUUAAAAUUAUAGCAACUUGAAUUAGGAUAACCGACGCGGAAUGCAGUUACAGCAAUAGUAUACUCUAAUAAAAAAUAUUACGAACUUAAGAUACAUAUGUAGAGCUCACCUCACUCUUACUUAACAUAUAAAAAAGGUUCUUCCUCUUAUUUUCUUAAAAUUAUAGCAACCCGAAUUAGGAUAAUCGACGCGGAACAUAGUUACCACAAUAGUAUACUAUAAUAAAAAAUAUUAUGAACUUAAGAUACAUAUGUAGAGCUCACCUCACUCUUACUUAACAUAUUAACAAUAGAUUUUUUAUUAUAUAUUUAUUAUAUUAUGUAUAAAUACAUAAAAUAAAGAUUAUCAAUCUAAAUUUGAUUUUUUUCACAUGCAACUACAACAAAAAAAAUCAAUUUAUUUUAUCACAUAACUCUUUCUUUGACCUAUUUUUUCUCAAUUUUUUUUCAUUUAUUUUUUUCCAGCCACAUAAGAGUGUCCAAAAUCUAGUAAUACUUAAAUCCGUUCUCAGCUAGGAUGAAUAAUCCUUCAAAGUUAAAGAAACUUAGAGUCGCCUCUUCUCUUGUAUUAUAAAUUUCUCAUAGGCUUUGCCUUUGAGAAAUUGCAAAUACAAAAAAUUGCAACCUUCCAUUCUUCUUUUUGUUGCAUUCCUUGUUUCAAGUUUGAAUAUGUCUGAUGAAUUAGAUCAAGUUUUAGUCCCAUGUUUGGAACGUGAGUUUAGAGGAACAUGAGGCUUUUCUAUGCAUACUAUUAUCCAACAUGUUUCCUAAUAAUGAAAGGGAUGAUGAUGAUCAAUUCUUUGAUGAUGCUUACAUGGAAGAUGUGGUCAUAUUCGAUACUGAUGAUGAUAUUAUGGAGUUUCUUGAGGAUGCUCUUAUUGAUGACGAUCCACCAAAGAUGAUCAGGCCUGCCAGUAAAUCAGCCAUUGAAGGGUUGGAGAAGGUAAAGAUCGAUGAAAGAUCAUUAGUGUCGUGUUUGGUGUGCUUUGAAGAUGUUUCAAUCGGGACUGAAGCCAAACGCCUGCCCUGCUCCAAUGUUUAUCGUACAGGUUGCGUUGUUAAAUGGUUUAAAGAGAGAAUACAUGUCCAUUGUGCCGCUAUAAAAUGCCUGUUGUGGAUUUUGAUCUAAUUGUCCCAUUGCCUGCCAUUGAUUCUGAUGUGGACUCUGAGAACAUGACUGCUACUAAUUGAUUUCAAGUGUCAUUUAUAGUAUGUAUUUAUUAGGGUUAUGUUCUAUUUUCUUUUUGUUUCUUUUGAACAAUUUGUUUGUAAACUUAAGGGUACCCAAAUCAUAAUGAAAUUGUCAUUUGGAACCCAAACCCUAAACCCUAAUCACCCAAGUCCUUAUCUUACAUGAUUAUUAAAAAAUUUACUGCACUUUUCCUUCUAAUUCUGAUGUUUUUGUAUUUCUUAUAAUAUGUUAUUUCUAUACAUGACCAUGCUCUCUACAACUAUUGAUAUAAAUUCUUGUUGAUUAGUUUGUUUUGUUUUGCAGGGUUUUUCUAUUUCUUAUCAAUAUCUUUGAGACCAAGAUUGGUCCUAAAGAACACUGUUCAGUCAAUCAAUGUUUUGAUCAAAUCAAGUGGAUACUUUACAGAAACCAGGACGUUGAGUUAGUAUUCACGAGAGCAAACAAGAGAAGCUAGUGUUUCCAACAAAAUGAAUUGAUACACUGACUCAAACGAAACUAAAUCCAACUUUUAAUCGAAGGCAGUAAAACUUUUAAUCAUCUAAGACUGCAAUACUAAUAUGUCUAUUACACUUUUUGCAGAAUCAAAAUUUGUGUCCAUAUUGGAUGUUUUCUCUUUCAGUUCUAUGUACUGUUGUAACAGAGCUCCGAAUUUUUUGUAGCAUGACUCCUGAUAUAAAUACAGAAAACAUCUGAUCUUACUUACAUUUAACAAAAAACUUCUUGUUCAACAAAGAAAAACCAGAAUCUAUUUCAACUAGAAUUGGUGGGGUGCGCCUGACCCAUGCAGCAGUGCAACGCAUGGGCGACACUUGAAGACCCCAGUAGCAAGCUACCGUGAUGGACCUUCUCCCUCAAAAAACUAAUUUAAUAUCAUGUGGAUCAAUGACCCACGUAUCAGAUAUUAAACUGAUAAGAACAGAUACUACACUUGAUCUUAGCCAAAAGGCCGAGAAAGGUAUGCUUUGCAAUCGCUCUCAACUUCUCUUUCAUAACUUGUCUCGCCCAAACCCUAUUCAACUGUUCAUGAUGUGGGAUAGGGAACUCAGCCAAGUGCAGUAACAUGUAUCUUUCGAUGACCAGUGAAAGCUGAUUGCUAGUUACCUGAAUAUCAGAGCAAAAUCUGGCAACAAAAACACUCUAACAAUUACCAUUUCCUUGGAAGAUUAUUUAUUAAUAAUUUGCGUAUUUGAAAUGGUAUUUGACAUCUGCUUUGAGAAGGCACGGUUCAUAUAAUCUAUAGGUAUAACUUCAAUGUCUUGUUUUAUGCUGCGUUUAGCUGCAAAAUCAGUCAUCUAUUGAGUCUCCUUCAUCCUUUCAAUCAUGCUUAUCUUCGUUCCUGCCGUAAAGGGUAUAACUUGUUAAUUUCUCAGUCUUAAUACCAAAUUAUGUCCAAUACUGAAAAUAUACAGUCAACUUAACGCAUCUCUGCUUCGCAGAUGAUUUACUAAUAUUUGCAAAGGGUAAGUUGGAUUCUGUUAUUGGUGUGAAGGAGGUGCUGAAGGUGUUUUAACACCUUUUCUGGCCUGCAACUUAACUGUGAGAAAAGUGAGUUAUAUUCAACAGGAAUUAAUAGAUGGGAGCUCAGUCCAAUAUAGCAGGUUUCUGGUUUUAAAAUUGGAUUGCUUUCUGUUAGAUACUUGGGGGUACCUUUGGUUACCAGGAGGCUCACCGGAAAAGAUUGUGCGCCACUAAUGGACAAGAUCACAACCAGGAUUAAAAGUUGGGCAGCUAGGCAUUUGUCUUAUGGUGGAAGGUUGCAGCUAAUGCAGUCCGUGCUGUUUGGUAUGCAAAACUAUUGGUCUAGGCGAUUCAUUAUGCCAAAGCAUGUGCUUAAGAAGAGAAAUCAACUAUGCUCCAGUUUCUUCUGGAAAAGGAGAGAAGGGUCCGCAAGGGGAGCUAGAGUGAGCCGUUGUGCAAUUUGUUUCUCUAAAUCUGAGGGAGGACUUGGUCUCAAAGAUAUAGUAUCUUGGAACCAGGCUUGUCUCAUGAAGAAUAUGCAGGACAUUUUUAUUAAAGCUGGUCCAAUAUGGAUAGCAUGGCUAGAAGCUUACGUUUUGAAGGAGAGGAGCAUCUUGCAGGUUCCAGAACAACAAAACAGUAGCUGGAACUGGAGGAAGCUACUUCAGCUUAGAUAGAUUGCACGGCAUUUUAUAAACAUAGAGAAUGGAGUUGAGAUCUAGCUUUUUCUAAGCAACACCUACUCAGCUGCUAUAGUAUGAAAUACGAUUAGGCCGAAACAAGAGAAGGUUGAAUGGCAUAAACUCAUAUGGUUUCAAUACCAUAUUCCAAAGCACUCUAUAAUAUCUUGGAUGGCUAUAUUAUAUAGACUUUCAACGAAGGACAGGUUGAAAACGUGGGGAAUUGAGGUGUAUGACAAAUGUUGCCUGUGCCAGAGAGAGGACGAAACCAGGGAACAUUUGUUCUUUGGAUGUGAUUAUUCAAAAUAGAUUUGGCAAAAGAUAUUACGGAAGUGCAGGAUCUUUCGGGGGUGGAGAACUGGUCCGAAGAGUUGAGAUGGGCAGUGAGCAAAUUGAGGGGAAAGCCUCCAUCAUAUUGCGAUUAGCCUGGAAUUCCAGACAUCAGAUAUGGAAAGAGAGCAACAGCAGGAUGUUACAGGUCCUUGAACACAUAAAAGAUGCUGUGAGGCUUCGAUUACAGGGACUAAGUGAGAUACACAUAAAAGAUGUUGUGAGACUUCGAUUAUAGGGACCAAGUCAGAUUGCUGCGAAUACAGUAAAUAAGAUGAUGUGUGAUACGUGGAAUCUUAAUGUUGCUAUGAUAGAAUAGGUUGCAAUUAGAGAUGCGUAUAUCGAUGGUUUGUAAAAGAC
rnacentral:lncRNA from 1 species